AGUCCACAAGACAGGCAGCUACGAAGGAAAGAUAGAUACAAAGUGGGGGAAAUCAAGACCAAGCUGGAACCCCAGUGUGAGAUGGAACCCCACACUGAUGGACUAAAACCCGUGUCAAUCCUUGCUGCCUCUAUGUAAGUGGUAUGGGUAUCCUGCAGAAGCAGGGGUCCUUUGGUGUGGAGCUAAACGCAGACCCCUGGCCCAGACACAGGAGCAGAAGAGCUGAAGGAGGAUUCAGGGGAAGUUCUACCGCUUCCCGCCAAUGAGCAAGGAGUGUUUGUGGAAGCUUCCAAGAAGACCAACAGAGUGGAAUGGGGUGCUUGUUUUCAUGGAUCAGAAAUGAAUCACAUCGACUUUUUUCAGUAAUGACACAGAGUUGUGGAGUCUUGGGAAAGAAACAACAGAAAGAAAAGGUUUUCUGGUGGAGACCUGUGAGAAGAAUAAAGGCUCCUGAACGGAGAACUGGGAUUAGGAGAGAAAGAUGGACAGUGGUUGGACUCUUGAAGGACAAUAAACUUGCCGUGCUUGUUAAUGCCUGACCGCUGUUUACAGCUGGUGCUGUUUACACCUGGUGCUGUUUCCAAAUGUUCUCCGUAAGCAUCCGUUCUGCUCCAGGGUCCUCAGAAAGACAGGUUAAUAGUUGACUGAAGGGAAGGGAGGCAAAGGGGGAUUGUGUCAGUGUGUCCACAGCUGAACUCUUCUUAGGGCUGAAGGCACAUAAGGGGGUAUCAUGCCCAGCUCUGAAAAUAAAGCGUUAUUGGCUCCAGUCAGAAACUGUCACUUUCUGCUGAGAUGGAAUAUAUUACUCAGAAGAGAGAAGCACCAAAUAUUAUGCAGUCUGCCUUUGGGGAAAGAAAAAAACACCCACUUCUUAUAAAAACACUUUUUUGGGAUGAAGGAUUUGAUUUCAACUGGUGAGUCAUCCCUGUGUUUUUUUGUUUUUUUUUCUUUAACCACUUAGCCAAAAAAUGAGGUUUUUAAAAAAGCAUUUCUCGAAGCAAAAUCUUCCACUGCUUGAGUUUCUCUCAUUUGACAUGGAAGGCAUCCUAAGUGCUUAUAUCCACAGCACCAGAAGCUGCCCCAGUUUGCAUGAAAGAUAUUGUAGGACAAGAUUUAUAAUGAUCAAGUUUCAGGCUCAUUAGGAAAAAGCAACCUCAAGAUACUAUUUGUGAUCUAGAAGUGAGAAAUGAUCAAGCAACAGAAAAUAAAAUUUAAAACACAAAUUUCAAUGAGUGUGUUUGAAAAUGACACAGUGAAUGUCAGAAGGCAAAGGAGCUGAAGAGGGCUGUGGACAUUGUAGCAGGAAGCACCAUAUGUCUUGGUCUAGCAAGGACAGUCCUGGUUCAUGUUGGAAAAGCACCUACUUUCACUCUCAAGGAUGUCUUGCUUUGGACAGUGGGUUAUACGCUCGCCCCAGAUGUAGUGGUUUGAAAGCAUGUCUGCCGAUUCUUUGACACUCUUAACCAUCAAGAAGUCUGUGUCCCUUCUCCUCGGAAACGGAUGGGCUUUUGUGACUGCCUGGGUGAGUGGUACGUGACAGCAGAGAAUCCUGUAAGAAGCCUCGCUGCCCUGGAUCUGCGUGCUGGAAGCACUACAUGGAGAGACCAGAGAGCAGAGCCAGAGGUGCCUGAGGAGCACCCCCUGCUGGGGUCUUCCCUGUCAAGACACCAGACAUAUGAGUGAGGAAGGCUUCGUGAUGACCCCAGCCCCCAUCCAACUACAGCCACAUGAGAGACCCCUAGUAAGAGCUGCGCGGCUGAGCCCAGGCAACUCUAGAACCGUGGGAGAAAAAUAACAAAUUAUGGUGCUCUUUUAUGUCAAGAAGUUUGAGGUAGUUUGUGAUGCAGCGAUAGGUAAGCCAGAUGCUAAUUACAGGUUGGUUAACUACCUUGAGGGCCCCCACUGAGGACUUUUACGUUGCUGACAGUUUUCCAUCAUGUGCCUUCACUCACUACGCCACGGCUGCCCUGGCCCCCUUUCGUUCCAUUCUCCCUAGAGCCACGUUCCUCUUGAGCCAGGACCCACUGUCUAGAAUGCUCUCCACUCCUCCCUCCCUCCUCCAGGUCCCAGCUUAAAAACCCCUGCCCGAUCCCUCUAAUAAAAUCUUAGCUCUCUCAUAGCCACCUGGGAGAGAUUACAUUUUCCAAAAAUUGCCCGAGCCACGUUUGUGAUCUUACGUGCUGUUCCAAAACCUCAUCUUUCCCUUAUCAAGAGGUAGGGACUACUUCCUUUCCCCUUGAAGUUGUGCAGGACAUUGCGACUGCAUGGAUGGUACGGCAUCCACCCUGCUCUCUCUCAGGACACACACCCUGGGAGCCCAGCCACCACAUUGUCGGGAAGCCCAGGUCAGGCGGAGAGGCCACGUGGUGUAUUCCAUCUGAUAGGUCCAGCUGAAGUCCCAGCAGAGAGCCGUCAUGAACUGCCAGACAGGCAAGGGGGUUUUCCUUCAAAUGAUUCCGGCGCCCAGCUUCUAUGCCACCCCAGCCAACGCCAUCUAGAGCUGGGUGAGCCACCCCUGUCCAGUGAUCAUCAACAUCACACUGUCUGUUGACUUUCAGACUGAGUUUGGGCUGGUUGUUACGCAGCCAUAGGUGACCAGAACACCACUGUAUUUUUAUUUCUUAAAACUGUCCCAAUCAUGAUUAAAUAUUUUUAAAUGAUUUACUGAGUAUCUAUUUUUCUUCCUAAACUGUAAACUCCAUGAAAGCCGGAACCCUUAGUACCUUGUCCAUUGUUGUAUUUCCAGCACCUGGCAGUACAACAGAUGCUCUGUAAUAUAUUUAUGGAAUGAAUGAAUGGAUACAACAGCCUGAAAAUACAUGAGGAAUGCCACCAAGGUGAAAAUGAAAAUCAGAACAGUUCCUGAGGACACACAGUUAUUUUGGCGAUUAGGAAAGUGCAGAAGGAUAUGCAGCUUAUAUAGGACAACAACUGUGGAACUUGGAUGCUGUUUUGUAAUUUUGCAUAUAACCACCAUCCAAUCAAAUUUGUGUGUAUACUAACACACACCAUCUCAACAAAAGCCUUUGAUAAUCUUUUGACACCCUUAAAAGUUAGGUUCAGAGUAGAUCCUUGGUUCGUGCAACUUCGUUAAUGCAUUUAUCAAAGAUUUAACUAUAAUCACAUACCAAAACAAGUAUCGUCUCCCAUAGGUGGGAAAGUUGUUGUCAACUUAAACUCCAUAGAGGAAGAGCUGUUUGAAGAUGAGUAUAUUCAAGCCAGCAAAGUGUGAGACGUAGGGUGUUGUUGACAAGUGUUACUGCAAAACACUCAGCUAUUAUUUUUGAGAACACGUGGCAGACUGAGGUCCCAGAAGGGGGAAAAGCUACAAUGGUGCCCAUGUUUUCAAAAGGGGAGAACUUCUCAGGAAAAGAGAAAAACAGAACAAAACACCAAUUUAUCCAUUUGUGGUCACCAGGCAGAACUCGAGGUCCUGAGCAGCCAGCUUGGCUUGAGGGAGAUGGAUUUGGGACCAGGACCAACUCAGCCUCCAGUGAGAGUGACAGGCUGGGUAAACAAUUGCACAGUGAUGAAUGACUGUAUUUGGGCUUCUUGGUUGUUUGACUGCAGGUGAAUAAAUCAAAUGCCUCUUGAAAGAACGGCGCCUGGCCUGAGAAGAUUUUAUAAACAUCUCCUACUUCUGGGGGAGAAACUCGUACAACCUUGUGAACUGGACCCACUCAAAUGUUGCAUAACUUCAACUGGUCAUAAUUCUGUGUAUCCUGGUCAGAGCCCUCUUCCACCCUCUGGUUCAGUUUCUCCAGUGACGGUAUCGGCAGUCUCCUUUAAGGUGGAAGAAGGGUGGACAUCAAUUACCAAGAUGGGAAAGGACUCCUCGCCCACUGCUAUUAACUGCUGCCACACACACCCUUUUCUUUUUAAACCCAGUAUUCUGUCUAUCCCAUCUGCAGUGCGGUGGACUGAAUGUAUGUGUCCCCCUACCCCCAAUUCAUAAGUUGAAAUCCUAACCCCCUGUGUGAUGGUACUGGGCGGUGGGGCCUUUGAAAGGUGAUUAGGGUUAGUGUCCUUAUAGAAGGGACUCCUGAUUGCUCUGUGCCCUCUUUCUGCCAUGUGAGGAUACACCAAGGGAACAGCAGUCUACAACUCAGAAGACGGCUCUCAUCAGAACCUGACAGUGCUGGCCCCCUGAUCUCGGACUUCUAGCCUCCAGAACUGUGAGAAAUACAUUUCUGUAGUUUAUCAGCCACCCCCUUUACAUUUGGUUAUAGCAGCCCGAGUUAAAGCACAUACAAAACCUCGGGCUUCCCUGGAGGCGCAGUGGUUAAGAAUCCGCCUGCCAAUGCAGGAGACACAGAUUUGAGCCCUGGCCCGGGAAGAUCCCACAUGCCGCAGAGCAACUAAGCCCGUGCGCCACAACUACUGAGCCUGCGCUCUAGAGCCUGCGAGCCACAACUACUGAGCCUGUGUGCCUAGAGCCCAUGCUCUGCAACAAGAGAAGCCAACGCAAUGAGAAACCCGCACACCACAAUGAAGAGUAGCCCCUGCUUACCACAACUAGAGAAAGCCCGUGCACAGCAACGAAGACCCAACGCAGCCAAAAAUAAACAAAUAAAAAAAAUCAAAAAA